CAUUCCUACAGUCUAUGACGUCAGUAAACUAGUUCUUUAAAUUUCAGGUUGCACUGUGUCCAAACGCAAAGAGUCCAAAGUCAGAAACAAGAUCAAGGAAUCUCCACAGAAACACGACUUUAGCUCUUCUAAGCCUCAGGCACUGACACUGAGAGGACCAUGUUUCUGGUGAUUCUUGCAAUUUGCUUCUGUGCUGUUAAUGCAGCACCAAGUUUUGGUUCAGGUGGAGAUCGUACUUUUCCUCAUGAUAUUACAAGCCAAUCUGGACUGACACAGCUAUACAACACUCCAGUGGUACAAGCUGAAAGAGUAACGAGGCCUCUGGAUUAUCUUGGCUGGUUAGGAUUAACACAUUCAGGAGUAAAGUA